GUCGAGCGGCGGACGGGUGAGUAAUGCCUAGGAAAUUGCCCUGAUGUGGGGGAUAACCAUUGGAAACGAUGGCUAAUACCGCAUGAUGCCUACGGGCCAAAGAGGGGGACCUUCGGGCCUCUCGCGUCAGGAUAUGCCUAGGUGGGAUUAGCUAGUUGGUGAGGUAAGGGCUCACCAAGGCGACGAUCCCUAGCUGGUCUGAGAGGAUGAUCAGCCACACUGGAACUGAGACACGGUCCAGACUCCUACGGGAGGCAGCAGUGGGGAAUAUUGCACAAUGGGCGCAAGCCUGAUGCAGCCAUGCCGCGUGUGUGAAGAAGGCCUUCGGGUUGUAAAGCACUUUCAGUCGUGAGGAAGGUGGUGUAGUUAAUAGCUGCAUUAUUUGACGUUAGCGACAGAAGAAGCACCGGCUAACUCCGUGCCAGCAGCCGCGGUAAUACGGAGGGUGCGAGCGUUAAUCGGAAUUACUGGGCGUAAAGCGCAUGCAGGUGGUUUGUUAAGUCAGAUGUGAAAGCCCGGGGCUCAACCUCGGAAUAGCAUUUGAAACUGGCAGACUAGAGUACUGUAGAGGGGGGUAGAAUUUCAGGUGUAGCGGUGAAAUGCGUAGAGAUCUGAAGGAAUACCGGUGGCGAAGGCGGCCCCCUGGACAGAUACUGACACUCAGAUGCGAAAGCGUGGGGAGCAAACAGGAUUAGAUACCCUGGUAGUCCACGCCGUAAACGAUGUCUACUUGGAGGUUGUGGCCUUGAGCCGUGGCUUUCGGAGCUAACGCGUUAAGUAGACCGCCUGGGGAGUACGGUCGCAAGAUUAAAACUCAAAUGAAUUGACGGGGGCCCGCACAAGCGGUGGAGCAUGUGGUUUAAUUCGAUGCAACGCGAAGAACCUUACCUACUCUUGACAUCCAGAGAACUUUCCAGAGAUGGAUUGGUGCCUUCGGGAACUCUGAGACAGGUGCUGCAUGGCUGUCGUCAGCUCGUGUUGUGAAAUGUUGGGUUAAGUCCCGCAACGAGCGCAACCCUUAUCCUUGUUUGCCAGCGAGUAAUGUCGGGAACUCCAGGGAGACUGCCGGUGAUAAACCGGAGGAAGGUGGGGACGACGUCAAGUCAUCAUGGCCCUUACGAGUAGGGCUACACACGUGCUACAAUGGCGCAUACAGAGGGCGGCCAACUUGCGAAAGUGAGCGAAUCCCAAAAAGUGCGUCGUAGUCCGGAUUGGAGUCUGCAACUCGACUCCAUGAAGUCGGAAUCGCUAGUAAUCGUGGAUCAGAAUGCCACGGUGAAUACGUUCCCGGGCCUUGUACACACCGCCCGUCACACCAUGGGAGUGGGCUGCAAAAGUAAGUAGGUAGUUUAACCUUCGGGGGGACGCUUACCAC
rnacentral:rRNA from 1 species